UGUGUGUGUGUGUAUGUGUGUGUGUGUGUGUGUGUGUGUGUGUGUGUGUGUGUGUGUGUGUACAUGUGCGUGCACCUUCAGGCUGAAACCAGACCCUUAACUGGAGUUUCUGGGGAAGGUAAUCCAAAACAGCUCUUUACCUCUAACUCCACUAAAGCUGGUUAAAUGAAGCUAACAUCACCCGGCUGUAAGGGUUGGGAGCCCAGUAAGUAUUGGGGUGGCAGAAAUGGAGGUCAGUGGCUUUGGAGCAACACUGAUGGAAGAGUUGGUGCGGUAUGGUGUGGUGCAGACGUUAAGGGGCAAAUGUGAGGACUCAGCAGACAAGCAUUUGACGGAGAUCCAUUUGAGUAGUACUGUGUCUCAGUUAUGAUUAGGUGAGAACUCUCACUAAUGAGAUAGCGCCUCGGUUCCUGACCCUCGUGUCCACGUGCAGUCUUGUGCACCCAUGGCCUGUCCAAAUGCAGCACAGGGGGAAGAGGGGGUGAGUUAAUCAGGGACUACACUUGCUUGGCCCUGAGUGUCAUUGGCCUUCAGAGAGAGGAAGAGGCCUUGUUCUCUUACACUCCAUGCAGGUGGUUGUGUUAGUUGUAAAGCACUCCUGUGACGUGCAUUUAAGGGUAGUGCUUUUGCUUUGCUGUCCUAAUUAUGUGGCAUUCCUAAUGCUUUUUAACUUUUAAACACUUUGUCACCCUUAGAGUUCUUGAAGACAAGAUUGCAAUGUAUUACAGAGGUGGCUUUGUCUCUGAUAACUUUGACAAAAUUCAGAACUUGUGACCCACUUUGAACUUUUAUGUCAGACUGUAAUUAAUAGAGUCUUAACUAGUACAGUGAUAUUUUUUAAAAGCAAAAAGACUAAAGAACUCUCCGAAAAGCUUUAAAGUGGCCUUUGUGUUACAUGCGUGGCAUGGGUGGCUCAUGAGUGCAGGACACGAGUGAUUCCUGUGUCCUAUCUGAUGUCACCAGGAACCUACGAGUUUCGCAUUUAACACACGUCAGUGCCAUAAACCCUCAGGACUGCAGCAGAGUCAACACACAUCUGCAUUGUGGCAAAUUGGUGUUCGGCUUCUUUUGUGGUUAGAAACAGAUGUGUGUGCCUAUCAGCAUUUAUCUCGUGGUUGGUCUUAUAAUCACUUGCUAUAUAUUGUGACCCUGUGCAAUAAAGCAGAAUUGUACAUACAUAGUUCUAUUUGGGUACCUGAAAUUCCUAAGCUCAAUUACAAUGUAGAUAAACUUGUAAGGUUUAGAGGACUGGCCUCUCGAGUAAGUGGUUAACAGAGAAUGAACCCUGGUUCCAGGGUGGUAUGAGCCGAGUUGGUGUGGUCACAGCUGAAUCAGACUGUUAGCAGUAAGGCAUUCAUACUUGGAUUCCCUAUGUCAAAUGUAUUUUUUUCUCAUAUACAAAUAAAUGCAUAUCAAAAAUGA
rnacentral:sRNA from 1 species